rnacentral:rRNA from 1 species
UACGUAGGUGGCAAGCGUUGUCCGGAUUUACUGGGCGUAAAGAGCGCGCAGGCGGUCGUUCAAGUCGCGUGUGAAAGCCCCCGGCUCAACUGGGGAGGGUCACGCGAUACUGAUCGACUCGAAGGCAGGAGAGGGUAGUGGAAUUCCCGGUGUAGUGGUGAAAUGCGUAGAUAUCGGGAGGAACACCGGUGGCGAAGGCGGCGACCUGGGUCGAGACUGACGCUGAGGCGCGAAAGCGUGGGGAGCAAACAGG